GGUAAAAUGGCCGAGUCCUAGGCGGUGGAUUGUAGCCCCACGAACAGAGGUUCAAGUCCUCUUUUUACCA
rnacentral:tRNA from 2 species